GGAUCCAGACUUUGAUUCUGGCUCAGGAUGAACGCUAGCUACAGGCUUAACACAUGCAAGUCGAGGGGCAGCGAUGAAGAAAGCUUGCUUUCUUCAGGCGGCGACCGGCGCACGGGUGAGUAACGCGUAUCGAACCUGCCUCAUACUCAGGAAUAGCCUUGCGAAAGUAGGAUUAAUGCCCGAUGUUAUUAGGAUAUCACAUGAUGUUUUAAUUAAAGAUUUAUCGGUAUGAGAUGGCGAUGCGUCCCAUUAGCUUGUUGGCGGGGUAACGGCCCACCAAGGCAUCGAUGGGUAGGGGUUCUGAGAGGAAGGUCCCCCACAUUGGAACUGAGACACGGUCCAAACUCCUACGGGAGGCAGCAGUGAGGAAUAUUGGUCAAUGGACGCAAGUCUGAACCAGCCAAGUAGCGUGCAGGAAGACGGCCCUCUGGGUUGUAAACUGCUUUUAGUUGGGAAUAAAGUGCACCACGUGUGGUGUCUUGUAUGUACCAUCAGAAAAAGGACCGGCUAAUUCCGUGCCAGCAGCCGCGGUAAUACGGAAGGUCCAGGCGUUAUCCGGAUUUAUUGGGUUUAAAGGGAGCGCAGGCGGACCUUUAAGUCAGCUGUGAAAUACGGCGGCUCAACCGUCGAACUGCAGUUGAUACUGGAGGUCUUGAGUGCACACAGGGAUACUGGAAUUCAUGGUGUAGCGGUGAAAUGCUCAGAUAUCAUGAAGAACUCCGAUCGCGAAGGCAGGUAUCCGGGGUGCAACUGACGCUGAGGCUCGAAAGUGCGGGUAUCAAACAGGAUUAGAUACCCUGGUAGUCCGCACAGUAAACGAUGAAUACUCGCGAUUUGCGAUACACAGUAAGUCGCCAAGCGAAAGCGUUAAGUAUUCCACCUGGGGAGUACGCCGGCAGCGGUGCAACUCAAAGGAAUUGACGG
rnacentral:rRNA from 2 species